ACGGGUGAGUAAUAUAUCGGAACGUGCCCAAUCGUGGGGGAUAACGUAGAGAAAUUUACGCUAAUACCGCAUACGAUCUAAGGAUGAAAGCGGGGGAUCGCAAGACCUCGCGCGAUUGGAGCGGCUGAUAUCAGAUUAGGUUGUUGGUGAGGUAAAAGCUCACCAAGCCGACGAUCUGUAGCUGGUUUGAGAGAACGACCAGCCACACUGGGACUGAGACACGGCCCAGACUCCUACGGGAGGCAGCAGUGGGGAAUUUUGGACAAUGGGCGAAAGCCUGAUCCAGCAAUGCCGCGUGCAGGAAGAAGGCCUUCGGGUUGUAAACUGCUUUUGUACGGAACGAAACGGCUCUUUCUAAUAAAGAGGGCUAAUGACGGUAACGUAAGAAUAAGCACCGGCUAACUACGUGCCAGCAGCCGCGGUAAUACGUAGGGUGCGAGCGUUAAUCGGAAUUACUGGGCGUAAAGCGUGCGCAGGCGGUUAUGUAAGACAGUUGUGAAAUCCCCGGGCUCAACCUGGGAAUUGCAUCUGUGACUGCAUAGCUAGAGUACGGUAGAGGGGGAUGGAAUUCCGCGUGUAGCAGUG
rnacentral:rRNA from 1 species